UCAGCCCGGCGGUCCGCCUCAUUCGCUGAGCAGGUCCAUGAAUUGUCAACGCGUUCCGGGCGGCUGCUGAGCCGGGGCGCCCGCCGGGCUUGUCGUGCUCCCUCGGAGGUACCUGCCCGGACCGAUGUGCGGGGUCCGCUAGGGCGAGAGCAGUCGCCGGUUCGCGGCAACUUGGGAUUCGGGACCCGCAACAGGGGCGUCGGUUUGCGAUCCGGACUCAGCGAGGAGGAUGGAAAUCCUGUAUGAACGUGGAAGCCAUUAGCCGAGUAAUUGCUGUCUGUUACCAUGACAACCAGCCGCUGCAGUCACCUGCCCGAAGUGUUGCCAGACUGCACCAGCUCGGCUGCGCCCGUGGUGAAGACCGUGGAGGACUGUGGCAGCCUAGUGACCGGGCAGCCGCAGUAUGUCAUGCAAGUUUCGGCCAAGGACGGGCAGCUGCUGUCAACGGUGGUGCGGACUCUCGCCACCCAGAGCCCCUUCAAUGACCGGCCGAUGUGCAGGAUCUGCCACGAGGGCAGCAGCCAAGAGGACUUGCUCUCCCCCUGCGAAUGCACGGGGACCUUGGGGACAAUUCAUCGGAGCUGCCUGGAGCACUGGCUGUCGUCCUCAAACACCAGCUACUGUGAACUCUGCCACUUCAGGUUUGCAGUCGAGCGCAAACCCAGGCCGUUAGUGGAGUGGCUCCGAAACCCGGGCCCCCAGCAUGAGAAGCGGACCCUGUUCGGAGACAUGGUGUGCUUCUUGUUCAUUACGCCGCUGGCCACCAUCUCGGGCUGGCUCUGCCUGCGGGGCGCCGUGGACCACCUGCACUUUAGUAGUCGGCUGGAGGCCGUCGGACUGAUUGCACUCACUGUGGCACUCUUCACUAUUUACCUCUUUUGGACACUAGCCGAGAACACUCCCGUGUGGGAGGCACGGUGCUGAGUGCUUUCUGUGCGCUCUCAGACACCACUCUCCACGUUUUGCCGACAAGGAAACGGACGCUUGGGCGUAGCAAGCAACCCUCCCGGCGUCACGGAGCCACUAGGCAGAGGAUGGGGACCCAGGCCUGGGGUGCCAGGCCCGAGAGCGCUGGAGAAGGCGCCCCCUUGCAUUCACCCACGGCCACUUCUAGGCCUACCCGGAGGUCCAGCGCGCACAGCUCCUUAACACACAGACAAAGCGUCUCUUGAUUUGAAACCCAGCCUUCCCAGAAGAUCUCCAGAUUCCGGUCUUCUCGGACUGCCAAAGCUCCUCAUUAGUACGAGUCUGCCUUCCACUCUUUUACCCGCUCUUGGCCCCGAGCGGCAGGCCUUCCCGGCUGCCUCGCCCACAUUCGGUGAGGAGCACCAAGCAGUAGCGGGACAGAAUCGAUACAUGAGAAUCAAGCUUGGCGAAAAAAAAAUACAACCCAAACCUGAUCCGCUUUGGCAUGUUCAGGGCCUUGUGGAGAAAAGCACAUCUGUGUGAGUUUAAAAGCUUAUAUUUUCAUACCCAAAUCUCUCUGGCACUCGGCCUGUGGCAUCUGCUCUCUAGCCUCGGAAAUUUAAGCUAGCGGCCUUGAAUUGCACAAUCCUGCCAGAGGACCAGUAAGCCCUUUCUGAUCCAGGGCCUGUGGUCUCUUCUGCUUCCAGAAAUGCUGAGUUCCAACUAUGGAGUCAGCCCUCUCUCUCUGACCACCAGGGACCCUGUCCUGGGGUCAGCCCAAUGCACCCACCCCAGAUGAUUAAACAGCUCAUGCCAGGUCAUCUGUCAGCCUAAGCUCAUAGGCACCUUCCUUCCCAGUACCUACCUAGUCAUCUGCAUGCUUUCAAACUGGAACCUUUCCCCAUUUUUCAAGACAGUCCGUGCAUCUUCAGAAGUACAGACUGACCUUUCCGGGCAGUCCACCCAGGCCGUACGCCAGCCUUCUCGAAAACGAACGACAGAUGUAUCUCAUUCCAGGAUAUUUACAGGAGAAGCAAGUACUUUUCGGCAUAGUUAAGCCACCAUUGGCCAUCAGUUUACUGCUCAUAAUGUAGAUUAUAUAAGAGAGGCUUAAAUCUGAAACAGGGUUGCAGUCAGAAAGCGGAGGAUAUUUAUUCACUCAGCAAACUCUACUGAGCAACUUCUUAAGCGCCAUGAUAGGCGCUGGGCAUGCAGUGAUGAAUACAACCCAAGCCCUGCUGUCGAGAUGCUUCUGGAGCAGGGAGAGAGAGACACAAAUACACUGACGUAUGGAGCACUUGAUGCCAUGCUGAGGUGUCAUUUAGGUACCACUGUCGACUGUAUAACGAAUGGCGUCGGACCAAUCAGAGAGUGAUUCUCCUCGUCCCAAAGUCUGUCAGCGUCCCUUCUAACCAGCAGUCCCUGCUGGGCCUCCACUCUGUCAAGAGGAAC